AUUGAACGCUGGCGGCAGGCCUAACACAUGCAAGACGAACGGUAACAGGAAGAAGCUUGCUUCUUUGCUGACGAGUGGCGGACGGGUGAGUAAUGUCUGGGAAACUGCCUGAUGGAGGGGGAUAACUACUGGAAACGGUAGCUAAUACCGCAUAACGUCGCAAGACCAAAGAGGGGGACCUUCGGGCCUCUUGCCAUCGGAUGUGCCCAGAUGGGAUUAGCUAGUAGGUGGGGUAACGGCUCACCUAGGCGACGAUCCCUAGCUGGUCUGAGAGGAUGACCAGCCACACUGGAACUGAGACACGGUCCAGACUCCUACGGGAGGCAGCAGUGGGGAAUAUUGCACAAAGGGCGCAAGCCUGAUGCAGCCAUGCCGCGUGUAUGAAGAAGGCCUUCGGGUUGUAAAGUACUUUCAGCGGGGAGGAAGGGAGUAAAGUUAAUACCUUUACUCAUUGACGUUACCCGCAGAAGAAGCACCGGCUAACUCCGUG
rnacentral:rRNA from 1 species